rnacentral:sRNA from 1 species
AAGCCUUGGGGAGCACUGAAGCCAAGGCUGUACCAUACCAAAAAUUUGAGGCACACCCGAAUGAUCUGUACGUGGAAGGACUGCCAGAAAACAUUCCUUUCCGAAGUCCCUCAUGGUAUGGAAUCCCAAGGCUGGAAAAAAUCAUUCAAGUGGGCAAUCGAAUUAAAUUUGUUAUUAAAAGACCAGAACUUCUGACUCACAGUACCACUGAAGUUACUCAGCCAAGAACAAAUACACCAGUCAAAGAAGAUUGGAAUGUCAGAAUUACCAAGCUACGGAAGCAAGUGGAAGAAAUUUUUAAUUUGAAGUUUGGUAAGUAAAAGCCAGUAUUUAUGUCUUUAAUAACAUAUCAACGAAGGGCCAUGUCUGAAUGAAGUAUAGAAGUUCAGGACCGGCUGGGCACGGUGGCUCACGCCUGUAAUCCCAGCACUUUGGGAGGCCGAGGCGGGCAGAUCAGGAGGUCAGGAGAUCGAGACCGUCCUGGCUAACACGAUGAAACCCCAUCUCUACUAAAAAUACAAGAAAAUUAGCCGGGCGUGGUGGCAGGCGCCUGUAGUCCCAGCUACUCGGGAGGCUGAGGCAGGGCAAUGGCUUGAACCCAGGAGGCGGAGCUUGCAGUGAGCCAAGAUCACACCACUGCACUCCAGCCUGGGCGACAGAGUGAGACUCUGUCU